AGGUCAGAAAUCUACAUAGUUGCAUCAAAUAGCAGAAGAUUUUGUAUCACCAGAACAUUUAGCUCAUUGUCUCAUGUUGACUCAUGAGUUUCGCCGACUGUCGGACACAUGCACAUACUAAUCACGAAGACAAAUUACAGAUCAAGAACCUUAUAUACCAUUCGGUGAAGGACUCGGUUGGAGUAUCACUGAGCGAACGAUAGCGGCAUGGCGACGGAUGCCGAUUCUCACGUAAUCGCUUUAAUGCUUUAAUGCAGACGGUACUAAAACUGGUUUAACUGGUAUACCUUUCAUCACUACAGACGUACUGUACUGUUAGUUCUUAAUACAAUACUCAUGUCGGUUUGUACUGUAUAUAUAGCGCU